rnacentral:lncRNA from 1 species
GAAGGGAGAGAAAGGAGAGCCUGCAGUGUUUGAACCUGGUAUGCUCGUGGAGGGGCCCCCUGGCCCAGAAGGCCCUGCGGGAUUGAUUGGGCCCCCUGGCAUCCAGGGGAACCCAGGCCCAGUUGGAGACCCUGGAGAGAGGGGCCCCCCUGGCCGAGCAGGGCUCCCUGGAUCAGAUGGGGCUCCUGGUCCUCCUGGCACAUCUCUCAUGCUCCCAGUGAGUUGUCUCUUGGGUUUUGGAACAUGCUGAUGGGGAAGACAAGGAAUUGUGUCAUGUUACCAAGAACCAGAUGGGCAGGAAAGCUAUGGAGGAGUCUCUAAAGAUCAUCAAAGAUCAUCACUCCAAAGGGAUUCGUCUUUGGGGUUGGGGAGAUGGGGCCUCAUUAGGUGACCUAGAACAAAACACC